UUUCCUGUUUCUCCAGGAUAUGGGCAUCACAAGAUGUGGAUGGUUGCAAGAACUGUGGCAAGGUUAACGUAAGCUUCACUCUGCCUUCGGAAUUCCAUCUUGUGUUACACAGAUCUGUGAAGUUGCCUGUGGAGACUUAGGAAACUUGGAACAUUUUCAGUUUCACUUGAAAAAUGUGCUACUAUUCUUCAAUCCAUUGACCUACGGAGGAAAGUAGUGAUGAAUGGAGAGGCAAGAUGAAUGAGUUGCUCACCCAUCCUUAAAAACCAACAAUAAACUCCGAGGUUCUUGGCAAAGCUGUAGAAUUCUUGGACUCCUUAAAUUUGAUCUCGAGAGUCACUGAACUUCCUGAAUUCUUCCUUCAGCACAAGAAAGAGGCCGUGAGAGCACUGAUGCGGUGUAUUUGAUAGCGGGCAACUGCGGUCUUGGAGAGGUCAGCCAGCCAUUCUCGCCCUAAGGCUAUAUACUUAAGGCAGUCCAAUUUUCAAACAUCUCCAGAGAUUGAGUGAAUUUAGCCAUAUUCCCUCAGGAGCCCAUUGUAACAUUUCACCUUUUCCCUUUUAAGAUGUUUUUCUGCUUUAUAACUUAAAUAGAAUGAAAAGGCUUAUCAUGAAAGUCUUUCCUUUUUCCUUUUGUGGACUUCCAUGGAUAUUUAGAAAACUGAUCAGAGAGUGAAAAACAAAGCAUCGUGAAGUUCAUUGUCAUUUUCUUUUCUCAAGGUUGGCUGAAUGGUGUUUCAAUUUUAUUUAAAAAUCUUUCUCUGUGAAUAUCAUUCCUGUAACUGUUCUCUGAUGAUUUCUCCAAGGAAAAGAGGAAAUAAACUCUACUUAUACUGUCUCAAGAUUGUCUUUCCACCCUGAUAACCCUUGCAUAUACUUUUCUUUGUCUGCCAGAGACUUCCAUGAACACCAUCUCCUAGGGAUUGUAUUAAGUGGAUCCUUUAAUUGGAACACUGGAAUGAUUAAGUUCUAAGACCAUUUCCAAUAUAAGGUUUAUAUUAUUGGGUGAAUCCUGUGUCCCUAGUUUAUGCACAUCUGUGUAAAGU